CCACAAAAGCUGCACCAUGGGCUAACAGGUGGAAUCUUAAAGGCACAGUAUGAAAAUAAGCCUGUGCAUGCAAAACAGGUCUCAAAGUCAUGCAACAGCACCACUACAACUUGCAAAUAAUGUCAGACUUGAAAUGAAGCUACAUGUCUCACAAGUGGCAACUUUUAAGUAACCCUGAAAGCAUUCAGAAGCAACGAAGGCAAAUCUUAUUUUGUAUAACUUAAAUUUAAUUUUCUACUAAUAUUUUACAUGUUUAAGAACAACAGGCUUUAUUAAAAUUUGAACAUUCGGGUAAUAUACUUCAUUGACUGAUAUAUUAAUUUAAAAAUUCUGAAAAUUGUUCAAGAUAUCAACUUAUACAAAGUCUACAAGGAUAUUAAAGUACUUACACAAA